rnacentral:rRNA from 1 species
UACAGAGGUCCCAAGCGUUGUUCGGAUUCACUGGGCGUAAAGGGUGCGUAGGUGGUAAGGCAAGUCAGGUGUGAAAUCUCCGGGCUCAACCCGGAAAUGGCAUUCGAAACUACCUUGCUAGAGGGUUUGAGGGGGGACUGGAAUACUUGGUGUAGCAGUGAAAUGCGUAGAUAUCAAGUGGAACACCAGUGGCGAAGGCGAGUCCCUGGAAAACUCCUGACACUGAGGCACGAAAAGCUAGGGGAGCAAACAGG